UACGUAGGGUGCGAGCGUUGUCCGGAAUUAUUGGGCGUAAAGAGCUUGUAGGCGGUUUGUCGCGUCUGCUGUGAAAAUCCGGGGCUCAACCCCGGACUUGCAGUGAGUACGGGCAGACUAGAGUGUGGUAGGGGAGACUGGAAUUCCUGGUGUAGCGGUGAAAUGCGUAGAUAUCUGGAGGAAUACCGGUGGCGAAGGCGGCUUCCUGGCCGUGUUCUUGACGCUGAGGCGCGAAAGCUAGGGGAGCAAACGGG
rnacentral:rRNA from 1 species